rnacentral:rRNA from 1 species
GACGAACGCUGGCGGCGUGCCUAACACAUGCAAGUGGAGCGACGAACCGGGCUUCGGCCCGGAGCAAAGCCGCGAACGGGUGAGUAACACGUGGGUAACCUGCCCUAAUGAUUGGGACAACUCGAGGAAACUCGAGCCAAUACCAAAUAUGCUGGUAGAUCAUCAGAUUUAUCAGGAAAGGAAGCUUCGGCCUCCGCAUUGGGAUGGGCCCGCGGCCCAUUAGCUUGUUGGGGGGGUAACGGCCCACCAAGGUAACGAUGGGUAGCUGGUCUGAGAGGACGAUCAGCCACACUGGGACUGAGACACGGCCCAGACUCCUACGGGAGGCAGCAGUGGGGAAUCUUGCGCAAUGCGCGAAAGCGUGACGCAGCAACGCCGCGUGGGGGAAGACGGCCUUCGGGUUGUAAACCCCUUUCAGUUGGGACGAAGCUCCGUCAGUUAAUAGCUGGCUGGAGUGACGGUACCUUCAGAAGAAGCCCCGGCUAACUACGUGCCAGCAGCCGCCGUAA